GCCCUUAGAGUUUGAUCCUGGCUCAGGACGAACGCUGGCGGCGUGCUUAACACAUGCAAGUCGAGCGGUAAGGCCCUUCGGGGUACACGAGCGGCGAACGGGUGAGUAACACGUGGGUGAUCUGCCCUGCACUUCGGGAUAAGCCUGGAAAACUGGGUCUAAUACCGGAUAGGACCUCUUGCCGCAUGGUGGGGGGUGGAAAGGUUUACUGGUGCAGGAUGGGCCCGCGGCCUAUCAGCUUGUUGGUGGGGUAAUGGCCUACCAAGGCGACGACGGGUAGCCGACCUGAGAGGGUGACCGGCCACACUGGGACUGAGACACGGCCCAGACUCCUACGGGAGGCAGCAGUGGGGAAUACUGCACAAUGGGCGAAAGCCUGAUGCAGCGACGCCGCGUGAGGGAUGACGGCCUUCGGGUUGUAAACCUCUUUCAGCGCCGACGAAGUGUAAGUGACGGUAGGCGCAGAAGAAGCACCGGCCAACUACGUGCCAGCAGCCGCGGUAAUACGUAGGGUGCAAGCGUUGUCCGGAAUUACUGGGCGUAAAGAGCUCGUAGGCGGUUUGUCGCGUCGUCUGUGAAAACUCGUAGCUCAACUACGGGCGUGCAGGCGAUACGGGCAGACUCGAGUACUGCAGGGGAGACUGGAAUUCCUGGUGUAGCGGUGAAAUGCGCAGAUAUCA
rnacentral:rRNA from 1 species